GAUCAUGGCUCAGGACGAACGCUGGCGGCGUGCUUAACACAUGCAAGUCGAACGGACGGACAGGGAGCUUGCUCCCUUGAAGUUAGUGGCGAACGGGUGAGUAACGCGUAAUCAACCUGCCCUUCAGAGGGGGAUAACAACGGGAAACCGUUGCUAAUACCGCGUACGAUUCACGAAUGGCAUCAUUUGUGAAUGAAAGGUGGCCUCUAUUUAUAAGCUAUCGCUGAAGGAGGGGAUUGCGU
rnacentral:rRNA from 1 species